rnacentral:rRNA from 1 species
CUAGAGUUUGAUCCUGGCUCAGGAUGAACGCUGGCGGCGUGCUUAACACAUGCAAGUCGAACGAAGCACUUUGACGGAAGUUUUCGGACGGAAGGAGAAGUGACUGAGUGGCGGACGGGUGAGUAACGCGUGGGUAACCUGCCUCACACAGGGGGAUAACAGUUAGAAAUGACUGCUAAUACCGCAUAAGCGCACAGUGCCGCAUGGUACAGUGUGAAAAACUCCGGUGGUGUGAGAUGGACCCGCGUCUGAUUAGGUAGUUGGUGAGGUAACGGCCCACCAAGCCGACGAUCAGUAGCCGACCUGAGAGGGUGAUCGGCCACAUUGGGACUGAGACACGGCCCAAACUCCUACGGGAGGCAGCAGUGGGGAAUAUUGCACAAUGGGGGAAACCCUGAUGCAGCGACGCCGCGUGAAGGAAGAAGUAUUUCGGUAUGUAAACUUCUAUCAGCAGGGAAGAAGAAUGACGGUACCUGACUAAGAAGCCCCGGCUAACUACGUGCC